GACGAACGCUGGCGGCGUGCUUAACACAUGCAAGUCGAACGGAAAGGCCCUGCUUUUGUGGGGUGCUCGAGUGGCGAACGGGUGAGUAACACGUUAGUAACCUGCCCUUGACUUUGGGAUAACUUCAGGAAACUGGGGCUAAUACCGGAUAGGAGCUCCUGCUGCAUGGUGGGGGUUGGAAAGUUUCGGCGGUUGGGGAUGGACUCGCGGCUUAUCAGCUUGUUGGUGGGGUAGUGGCUUACCAAGGCUUUGACGGGUAGCCGGCCUGAGAGGGUGACCGGCCACAUUGGGACUGAGAUACGGCCCAGAAUCCUACGGGAGGCAGCAGUGGGGAAUAUUGCACAAUGGGCGGAAGCCUGAUGCAGCAACGCCGCGUGCGGGAUGAAGGCCUUCGGGUUGUAAACCGCUUUCGCCUGUGACGAAGCGUGAGUGACGGUAAUGGGUAAAGAAGCACCGGCUAACUACGUG
rnacentral:rRNA from 1 species